UCUCUGGCAGUCCAAUGGUUAAGACUCUGUACUCCUAAUGCAGAGGACCUGGGUUCAAUCCCUAGUCAGAGAA